UUGAUGAGAGUGGGCUGCCGG
rnacentral:misc_RNA from 1 species